UUUAAGAUACACUUAGUACUCGGGCAGUCAGCGCGAACAUUGUUUCUUAAUUAGAGAAGUCUUAAGAAAAUUUGUUAAAAUUUCUUUCAAAUAAAACCUUACAUAUGAAGCGUAUUCGUUAGUUUAACAUUAUGUUUGGAAUUCAAAUGGAGGAUCUUCUUUCGAACUUAUAUUUGACCUAUCCAAUCAUAAGUGCCUUAUGGGUUGCUUCGAAAUUCAAAGUUAAAGUGAUUUCUGAUUGAUUACGGCAUGAUAUGAAGAAGUGCUAUACCAAUGAAUAACGCCGAAUCUUUGUUCGAGACUCUGCGCUGCAUCUUUGGGUCUGAUACCUUGCCACAGGGAGGCUAAAAUUCAGGUUCGAUUAAACAAAUAUUUGAAGACUGCGAUGAGCCUCCACGACCUGUGUAAGAACCCCUUAAUACCUUAAGACUUGUCAACAAAUUUGCAUUAUCAGGGAGCACGGCCAGGAGGAAUUGGAUUCAUUUGCAUGUUGCCAUGGGAACACAAGACAAGAGAGAAAAAAGAUCUCAAAAAUUUUGCCCUACAUCUAGUUUCGGUUUGGUCUAGCAAAAUGUGCAUCUAAAUCAAGUAACAAGGUGGAAUAUCCGUAGUUUAUCCCGAAAAGGAAAGAACAAAAGCAGAAAUGCAUAAUAGGCCACUGGGAGUUACUGACGGUAUGAAAACUGCCUUAUGUAGGAAAGCGCCAUCUUUUUGAAAGCAUAUUUUCGUCAAUGAAAAGAGCUGUAUCUGUAAACAUCUUCAACUCAUCUCAUUCAAGUCUAUCAAUUAGUCAUUGAUGUGCACUCGACAAAGAAUAAAAGUUUUGAAAACAAAUUCUGAAAGUGUAUAACCAUAA